rnacentral:lncRNA from 1 species
GAACUGCAUUCUGUAUCUCAAGGAAAGAGCAAGAACAAGUGUUGCCUGGUUAUAUCACAAGUACCAAUGUCCUGCUGAACUGCUGUGGGAGCCCAGUGGCAAGAAGACCUAAUUUCAUCUUGGGCAGGAUGGGGAGACUCCCAGGACACCAUCCAAGCUGCAUCCGGAAUGAUCAGGAGGCAUUUGACAAUGCUUCUCUGCGGCCUCACAGGCUGGCAGGCAGCCUGUGAUGGGGCCCUGCUCAGAAGACCCCCGCCUCUGCGGGGCCUCCAGGCUCCUAGGAUUCACCAGCUUCCUCCUCAAAACUGUACCCGUUCCUAAGAUCCUUGUCAAGUCAGCAUCCUUCACACCAGGCUGGUGCAAUGCCACUCUGGAGUGCACAGCCCCAGGGGAUACAAAGGACCUGAAGGUGACCUGGGAGAUCAAGGACCUUCCCAGGGAGCUGGAGCAGAGAGUGACAUCAGAACUACCCUCCAAGUCCUGGAACCUGACUCUGUGCCUGCCUGUGAGCCAGCCCAGUGGCAGCUUGACCUGUAUGGUCAGCAACCAGGUGGACCAGAAAACUGCCACCUUAGGCCUUGGAGAAGUCUGUGUCUCUGAUUCACCUGGAAACAAUGAUGAUAAGACCCUGUCAGGCAUCAUAGGGACUGUCGUGAUUAUCCUGUUGAUCUGCGUAAUUGGACUGUUCCUUUGGAAGACCUGUGUGAAGAAGAGGAAGAUGACGACUGGAAGAGGUGUAGAAGUUCAGGAGGAUCAGAGGGACAAUGAUGGUGGCCUCCACUAUGCGGAGCUGAGCCAGCAGGAGUCUGCCGCACACAAGGGUGUUGAUAAACAACAUUUAGAAGAAAAGGCGUCUAGUACUGUCUACAGUGAGGUCUGCAAGCCAGAAAGGGAGGCCAUGAAGAUACUUUAA